AUUGAACGCUGGCGGCAUGCCUUACACAUGCAAGUCGAACGGCAGCACGGGAGCAAUCCUGGUGGCGAGUGGCGAACGGGUGAGUAAUGUAUCGGAACGUGCCCAGUCGUGGGGGAUAACGCAGCGAAAGCUGUGCUAAUACCGCAUACGAUCUAUGGAUGAAAGCGGGGGAUCGCAAGACCUCGCGCGAUUGGAGCGGCCGAUAUCAGAUUAGCUAGUUGGUGGGGUAAAAGCUUACCAAGGCGAGGAUCUGUAGCUGGUCUGAGAGGAUGACGAUCAGCACUGGAACUGAGAGACGGUCCAGACUCCUACGGGAGGCAGCAGUGGGGAAUUUAGGACAAUGGGCGCAAGCCUUAUCCAGCAAUGCCGCGGGCAGGAUGAAGGCCUUCGGGUUGUAAACUGCUUUUGUACGGAGCGAAAAGGCUCUCACUAAUACAGGGGGCUCAUGACGGUACCGUAAGAAUAAGCACCGGCUAACUACGUGCCAGCAGCCGCCGUAA
rnacentral:rRNA from 1 species